rnacentral:rRNA from 1 species
UACAGAGGGUGCGAGCGUUAAUCGGAAUUACUGGGCGUAAAGCGUGCGUAGACGGUUAUCUAAGUCGGAUGUGAAAGCCCCGGGCUCAACCUGGGAAUUGCAUUCGAGACUGAAUAGCUAGGGUGCGGUAGAGGGAAGCGGAAUUUCCGGUGUAGCGGUGAAAUGCGUAGAUAUCGGAAGAACAUCAGUGGCGAAAGCGGAGCUUCCUGGACC